GUGAAUCAUCGAAUUUUUGAACGCAAAUUGCGCUUCCUGGCAUCCCGGGGAGUAUGCCUGUUUGAGGGUCAGUAUUAAUAAAAAGUCGGGUUAGGUACAAAUUGUGACGUUUCCGGAGUUUGGGCUAUCUUAACAUUUUUGGGUAAGAGGCUUAACAUGUACCUUGUUUAGGAAUUUUUAAACUUACAUACAGUUUUUUUUUCGUCUAUUCUGAAUGCCAAAAUCUUAUUAGAUGCAAUCAGAUCGUGUGGCUUCGGGUCCAUAAAAUUUUCAUG
rnacentral:misc_RNA from 1 species